rnacentral:rRNA from 1 species
UGACUAAGGUUUCCAGAGGAAGGCUCGUCCGCUCUGGGUUAGUCGGGUCCUAAGCUGAGGCCGACAGGCGUAGGCGAUGGAUAACAGGUUGAUAUUCCUGUACCACCUAUAAUCGUUUUAAUCGAUGGGGGGACGCAGUAGGAUAGGCGAAGCGUGCGAUUGGAUUGCACGUCUAAGCAGUAAGGCUGAGUAUUAGGCAAAUCCGGUACUCGUUAAGGCUGAGCUGUGAUGGGGAGAAGACAUUGAGUCUUCGAGUCGUUGAUUUCACACUGCCGAGAAAAGCCUCUAGAUAGAAAAUAGGUGCCCGUACCGCAAACCGACACAGGUAGUCAAGAUGAGAAUUCUAAGGUGAGCGAGCGAACUCUCGUUAAGG